AUUGAACGCUGGCGGCAUGCUUUACACAUGCAAGUCGAACGGAGUGGCGAACGGGUGAGUAAUAUAUCGGAACGUACCGAGUAAUGGGGGAUAACCAAUCGAAAGAUUGGCUAAUACCGCAUACUAUCGGAUGAACCCAUAUGGGAUUAGCUAGUAGGUGGGGUAAAGGCUCACCUAGGCGACGAUCUCUAGCUGGUCUGAGAGGAUGAUCAGCCACACUGGGACUGAGACACGGCCCAGACUCCUACGGGAGGCAGCAGUGGGGAAUUUUGGACAAUGGGGGAAACCCUGAUCCAGCCAUCCCGCGUGUGCGAUGAAGGCCUUCGGGUUGUAAAGCACUUUUGGCAGGAAAGCGGUACCUGCAGAAUAAGCACCGGCUAACUACGUGCCAGCAGCCGCGGUAAUUC
rnacentral:rRNA from 1 species